rnacentral:lncRNA from 1 species
ACGAGGCGACGUGAGUUACAAUUAAGUUUUCUCUCUUAUCAUUUUGAUACGUUAAAAUUAUUAAAAAAUUGUUGAUUCAGAUUAUUGAAUUUUUUAAAAUCUGCAAGUAUAUAUGUUUGUUUCAAUUUGAUUUUUGUUGUCUCUUUUUUAUCACAUGUGUCAAAUUUUUCUCCAAUUUUCUUACUAAUUUUUUCCCCUUAUACUCUCCAGAAGAAGGCUGCAAUCUUGGGUAAAACUUAAUGUUCGUGUUCGUAUUCAGUUUUUAUAAGUUAGGGUUUGUUUCCUAUGCAAAGUAUUGUUUGUGUUUGUGUGAGUUUUAAAAACAAUGUAAAUUUUGUGUAUCAUUAUUCAUGAAACUUAAUAACUAAAGAUGUGAAACUUGAUUACUAAAUGCAAUGAGGGUCUAUAACAUAAAUAAAGGCAAACCACCUAAUUUUGACAUAAAAAUGAUUAGAACCACUAAUUUCAUUAUUUCAGCAUUGCAGGCACACAAAAGUGGUAGGCGAUGAUGACUCAAGACUAUGUCUUUACUUUGAUAAACACAAGGUAAAUAUACUGGUUUGAUUACUUUCUUUCAAGGCUUGGUUAAUCUAAUUUAGGAUGUUUAGUUUUUAUUUGAAAAUUGAUGUUUGACUAGGAGAAGGCUUGCAUUAAGUCACAAUGUGCUUUGUAUAGCCAUAGAUUCCACCAACGAAAGAUAGAUAGAAAAAAGAAAAAAAAAAGGUUUAUCUGCAUACCAAAGGAAAAAUUUGAAGAUGAUUGUUUAAAUUAAUAUUUCCAAUUUUUCAAAUGGAUCCCUUUUGCUAUUUGAUUUGGAUGAGAAUAUGAAUUCGGAAGAUAGCUUUCUUCCGUAGUCGGAUAAUCAACCAGAUUAAUAUGUUUUGCAAACCAUGUUAUUAAUUUUUAAACACAUCCACGUUCUUUCAAUUAUAUAGGAAGGAAUAAGAGAUGAGAGAAGAGUCUAGACAUAACAUCUACAUGUAUGUUUCCUUUACAAAUUCCGAUUUACAAUCACAAACCAAAAGAAAUUUUUUGUAAUUAAUCAUUGAUAUAUAAAUAUAAUUUUGUAAAAACAAAAAUUAGAAAUUAGAUAAUUCAAUUUCAAUUUGUGCUUUGUAAUUUCGUUGGGGUGCAUCCUAUUGAGAGUAAGAGAGAGAUGAAGAAGGGGAAAAGGGAGGAAGAAGAUGGAACAACUUGAUGUAGCCUAUUUUCCUCGACCAUUAAUUAAAGUGUUUAAGGUAAAUGCAAUUAUAUAGGCUAUUGUUUCUUAUUUUUAUCUUUUUCUGUUUGAUCUAUUAAUGAUUCAUUUCUUAUUUUUAUGGUCUGCCAAAUCUCACCUGUUAAUUUUGUGUAUGGAUGGUGAUCCACACACCAACAAAAACAUGAAGAAAUAAGUUUAGGAAAUUUGAAAGGCCUUUUCCUCAUCACUGUAUUGCCACAAACUAAGGUUAUUCUAUUAGAAAGGGGCAUAAAAGCCUAAACAAUCACUUCAAGAAGCCUAUGCAGAAAGUUAUGCGUCGUUGGCAAUUUCCUUUUAAAUUUCCUUCAAUUUACCUUUACUACAUUUACUUUAAACAAUUGCAUACACGCAUUCCUUAUUUUUGCUUUUAAAAAUCAUAUUCCUUCUUUGUUGUGUUAAUUGUUGUUCCUGAUAAACUUUUAGCAAGUGUGCUAAAAAUAUCGAAGUAAUAAAAUAAGUUCGUAUCAAGUUAAUAUCUAGGAUAUGUAAAUUUUAUAAGUUCCUGAGGCAGUAGGUUUGUGUGCAUAAAAAGUAAAUAAAAUUUGUUGAAAGAUGAUUUGAGAAGGAUGAUUAAGCCGAUGAAUCCCCUAUUGUUCUAUAUGAGUAGUUACCUCCUUUAUUUACUAAUUACUAUUCAAUCUUUACGACAAAUUAACUAAGUAGUUUUGAUCAAUCUCUUAACUCAAAACCCUUUCCUAAGUUAUAACUUUUUAAUCUCUUAAACCGAUUGAAUAACCGCGGAAGCGAUAGAAGAACGUUAAUUCAUGAGUCAUGAUCCUCAAUUUUCUAUUUCUAGGUUCCUAUGUUGAAUCAAACAGGAUUACUAUUUCAGGAUUAAAAGGUAGUGUUAAUAGUCAUUCAAUUCCUAAUAUCAAUUCAUGUAAUUGCACGAAGCUAGGGUUAAUAGUCAUACAAAACAAUUAUCUGAAAAACAAUAAACCGAUAGAGUUCCGUCGUUGCCGGCUUUACUCCACAGUUUAUAUCCCACGGUGCUGUUGUUGUCUUCCCAAAACCAUGUGGCCAAAAUCGUGAUCUCCUGUACGGCUCACUUUCCCAACGUCCACUUCACUCCGGUAUGUGCGGCUGGCUUUCUUAUAUAUAGGGAUGUAACCUAGUUCUUUUCUUUCUCCACAAGCAAGUCACGCUUUUCUUUAAUUUGAUUUUCUCAAGCCCAAUCUUUUAUAUGAAUAUUAAAACCAUUGCUUUUGGCACUUCUUGUUUUGCUCUUGUUUGAUCACAUAAUAAAUAAUUAUGAUAAUAACCCAUAAAUUCCAAUAUUUCCUUGCUUGACUUAAUAGACCAAAAAACAUUACUUUAUUCAAAUUGACUCUAAAUUAAAUACUAAACUAAUAAAAAUAGAUUGAAAACUUAUUUAAAAAGACUCUAAAAAUGUGAUAUGACGGACUGUCAUCAGUUCCAUAGAGGAAGCCACUUCUUCUAACGGUACGAAUUACAUGCAAUAUUUCUUGAUGAUUGAAGAACUGUUUUUGUAUUCUAUUUCCUUUUUACUCUUCUUGGUUAAUACAAAUUCAGAUAUAAUGGGAAAUGUUCCGCAUUGAUAGAGAAGCUCCUCAUAUAUAGGAUGACUGCCAAAUUUUUCUCCAUAUUAUCUCUCGGUCUCUUUCUAAUCCUUUUAUGUUGUUGUUUGCAUGUGAUUUGAGUCCUUAUUCCAUAAUUGUCGCAAAGGGUGAAAGGAAACGACGAAGAGGAAAGGAAGAUGGUUACAUAUUAGUAAAUAUGGUUUAAAGAUGCUUGAAGUUUUCAAGUAUAUUUGAUGCUCAAUAAAUAUCUAACUUCCUUUAACAUAAAAGGUGGUUACGUAUCAGUAAUUGGGAAAUGUAUAAGAAUAUUUACUUAGAUAAUAUUUUAUUUGAUUUCUCCAAAUUUGGUAAGUUAGCAUCACUGUUACAACAUGGUAACUUUGUACAUCUACUCCUUUCAAUUUUACAUUACAACUGUUACAUUAAUUUAGGUUGGAGAAACAACCUUAAAGAGUGAAAAUUGGUGUCAAUGUGGAGUAACUGCCAUCAACUAAGAUACACAGAGAGGUUUCUUAAUAGUUUUAAAUGUAUGCUACAAGAAUUUAAUUGUAACAAGGGUUUGCAAUAUAUAGAUACCAGAGGGAAUAUAGUUUUAAAUGUAUACUACAAGAAUUUAAUUGUAACAAGGGUUUGCAAUAUAUAGAUACCAGAGGGAAUAUAGUUUUAAAUGUAUACUACAAGAAUUUAAUUGUAACAAGGGUUUGCAAUAUAUAGAUACCAGAGGGAUUAUAGUUUCUUAAGGAAUGGCCUGAAACAGAGUAAUAACAAAAAUAUGAAGAAAUACAUAAUAUCAACGGAGCAUCACAACAAUGUUUUUGUAAUGGAAAAACUAAGAUUGUGAUAUUUGAUAUAGGCAGCAGGACUAUGAAAGCCACAUAGAGUUGGUGUUGGAACGUUGGUCUUUCUCCUUUGAGGAAGAGAAAUGAGAAAAGGGGAAGGUUUGUCGUCAUUGGCCAUCGGCGAAAAGUAUCAAUGUGCAUCAAGGUUCUACCAUUAAUCAAGAAAAAAGUGUUCAAAAUGAUUUUCUAUUUCAUACUAUGAUCAAGUAUAAUCUUCAGCA